UGCCUACGGGAGGCAGCAGUGGGGAAUAUUGCACAAUGGGGGGAACCCUGAUGCAGCGACGCCGCGUGAGUGAAGAAGUAUUUCGGUAUGUAAAGCUCUAUCAGCAGGGAAGAAAAUGACGGUACCUGACUAAGAAGCCCCGGCUAACUACGUGCCAGCAGCCGCGGUAAUACGUAGGGGGCAAGCGUUAUCCGGAUUUACUGGGUGUAAAGGGAGCGCAGACGGCUGCGCAAGUCUGGAGUGAAAGGCGGGGGCCCAACCCCCGGACUGCUCUGGAAACUGUAAAGCUGGAGUGCAGGAGAGGG
rnacentral:rRNA from 1 species